UAGCCAGUUAUUCCCCAUUUUGUAGUUGUUUUUCAUUCUUAUGUGUAGUACUUUGCACUUGUCUUUAUUUAAUUUAAUCUUGUUGAAUUCAGACCAAUUCUCCAAUUUGUCAAGGUUGUUUUCAAUUCUAAUCCUCUGCUCCAAAAUGCUUUCUACCCCUCCCAUCUUGGUCUCAUCUGCAGAUUUUAUAAGCACACUCUCUCCUUCAUUAUUCAAGUCAUUAAUGAAAAUAUUGAUUAGUACCAGACCCAGAACUGGCCCCUAUGCAGCCCAAUAGAUACACUCUCCCAGUCUGACAGCAAACCAGAUAACUGUUCCUUAAACCCUAUUAUCCUCUAUCCUUUGCUUUCAAAUUGGUUAACAAUUUUUUUCAGUAUCGUUCCAGGUAUCAAAGCUAGGCUGACUGGUCUGUGAUUCCUUGGGUCCUCUUUGUUUCCCUUUUAAAUGCUAGGGGAACUUAGGUACUAUGUUUCCUCUUCUCCAGUCCUCUUGGACCUCAGAUAUCCUCCAUGAGUUCUCAAAGAUAAUCGCUAGUGGUUCUGAGAUUGCCUCAGCUAUUUCCUUAAGUACCUUAGGAUGAAUUUCACCAGGCCUGCUGACUUGAAUAUAUAUAAUUUAUCUAAAUAUUCUUUAACCCAUUCUUUCCCUAUUUUGGCUUGCUUUCCUUCCCCAUGCGUACAUGGCAAUGGGUUUUUACACUGUGCAUAGUUGAGAAAUGCAGUGAAUUCUCACCAGGGCACAUACAUUUGUGCUACAGGACUGAAGGCAAAAAAUAAGAUCUGGGGGUGAAAAGGGUAUCCAAAUACCAUCCCGGAGAGGGGUAAGGGUCCUGUCAGACUUUUUGCUUUCAUUUUGGUGCUGGGUCUGCAGACACCAAGGAAGUUCAAGGGCUGGGGAGAAGACUCUCCUGAAACCUCAUACAGGUGGCUAGUAAAGCAAACCCCAUGGAAGGCUUUUGCUUUAUAGUUUUGGAUGUCUCCCUCUAAAAUGUACAGCCUAGAACUCAGCUUCUGACCUAAGCAGAGAAAGAGAGAGAGAGUGUGUGUGUGUGAGUGUGUGAUUAGUAGAUAUUGGCUUUUAUUAAUAGCCUUAUCUAAAAUGUGGAUUAAAUAAAAUCUGAAGUAGAAUAUGAGCUUUCGCGUAUAGACCUACUUAGCUCAUGUUUUCUCUACAGUCCAAAGCACUUCCUAGAGAAUCAAUAUUGCAGCACUACCCUAUGUAUUGUUGCCCCCAGGGUACUUAUUUAACUUGAUUCUCUGUUUGAUCAGUCUAGAAAUAUAUUGGGAGUCAACUUGACUGGGUAGUGGUACAUUAUGUUGCUAAGCAACCAGCACUUUUUAUUGCCCUGUCUGGCCACAUAUAUAUUACUUAGUUGGGCAGAAGCAUCUCUGAUUAUAUCAGGUAAAUGACUUCCGGUUGCAAAUGACAAAGAAAUGAUUCCCUCCCUAACUAAUGAUACUUCUGAAGAGGUAUCAACAUGGUUCUUUCACAGACAUUCAGUUCGUAUCUUUGCUUAACAAACAGCACUGCUCAGCCUCCACUGAACUAAGUUUUCUUAGUAGCACUACACGCUGCCUCACUAGCUGGCUGAUUCCCAAUGUUUCCUUUGAAGCCUGUGGUCUUUAUCAUAUUGCCAACAAUCAGCAUCAUGAGGAGAAAGUCAGACUCCUGGCUCAGAGAUGAUCUACUUAUGUCAAAUCUAUUUUGAGUCUGUGGUGCUGAAACAAAUUCCAUGAUCUCAGCCACACAGGGAGAGAGAAAAGACGUUCCACAGUACCAUACAGGAGACCUGGUUCUGAUUACCAGUCAGAGCCUUUCGCUUCCCAGACUGGGAAUCCUGUACAGUCCAGCUCACCUACAUGGUGUUUGCCAAAACAAAUGAAUAGAAGAAAUGUGGAAUGUGUACAGAAAAGGAAAGUCUGGAGACAGCGAGAAGUAAUAAUCACAAAAAUGACUUGUCUGAUACAAUCAGUAACCAGAUAAUGACAGACUAUAAUAAAACACUAAAAAGUGAAGAUUGCCAUGUUUUUGUCAUACUUGACUGCAAGUAUUUAGAUCCAGAUAACUGAAUAUAAUUGGGGUAGUUGAAUAAUUGAAUAGUUUGUUCCCGUACAGAGGGUGCUAGACAACUGGCAAGUGAGUUAUAAAUUAUUCUUAAGGGGGCUGUUUUUUUCUAGUGAGAUUGAAGACAUUAUUAAUUUUUACAGCAGUAUUGCCAACCCUAAGCAUUCAAAAAUGCCUCCAAUAAAUGAUGAAAUUGGUUUAAAAUCAUGAGGCUGAUUUUUAAAAUAAUACAUUUUGGGUUAAUUGUAUUUCUUUUCUGUGUUUUGUGCCUUCAGGGCUCAUGUUUUCAAGCUUUUCUCCACUACUGUGAAAGCUAGAAUUUUUUUUAAACAAAAGCUAAGAUUCUCAUAUAUUUACAUGGAUCCAGGAUCUGAGACCUUAAGAAAAACACCAAGUAUUGCAAGAGUUGGUAAUACUGAGUAUUUUAAAUAUGUCUGAACUCUUCCAUAUUUCCUUAAAUUAAAGCCAAAAUAAAAAAAAAGUAAUCAAAAA